rnacentral:lncRNA from 1 species
AUGCAGUGUUAUUUGGCUGUUGGAUUAAAAAGUCACAUCCAUUUCUUUUCUGCCCUACUCCACUACUGCUCUGAAGUCUCACUGUGGCUUGGCAACUAUGGGUUUUCAAUGGCUGUGUCAGCAAAGUAUGAUGCUGGCAAGAUCUACCAAGUGGGAAAAGCUUUAGCACCAGGCCUGGAGAAGACUAGAGAAGUCUUUUGUAUGAGGAGCAGCCUGGCUGAAUUUGGAGAAGUCCAUCAUCAGAAGGCUGGCCACAUUAAAAGAAAGUUCUCUAUCAUGAGUGAAUGGAGGACCAGAAUGGAUGGGCAAAGAAGGCAUAUUUUAAGCAUCUACUGUGUGCCAGAGACUGAACUAAAAGUUGAUAAUGAAACCAGAGUCUUGAAAUACUGAAGUAUGUCUUUUCUUCUCCUCUAGCUCUCAAGUGGUUGCCUUUAUCCCAGCAGAGAGGGCUAACUUUUCAUAUUAUGAGAGGAACUAAUAGUCAGUGGAACUGGUUGACACAAGUUGGAGUUUUUCUCUGACUUUAAGUGUCCUACCAUUUCUAUGGCAUAGAUUCUCCUUUAGAUUUCCAGAAUAUUCAAAACAGUUUUGAGAAAAAAAUGAAAAUGAAAUAGUACAUGGUUUUUGGAUCCUUUGCAAGUAGUUAAUACAUACUUCUUAAGACUGAAUGUGUUAUUAGAAACUUUUGUGUUGAAGGGAUCAGAACCAGAAAAGCAAUAGACUAUAAGGGCUACAGCAAUGGCAAUGGAAAGAACAACCAACCACCCUUCUCUGAAGCUGAAUUUGGUAUAAUAUUGAUGAUAAUGCUUGGUCCCAAUGAAGAGAAGAAGAAAUUUUUCUUUCCUAUUUGCAGGGGCAAGGGCUCUAUGAAUUUGAAACAUUGUACCAACAAAACCAAUCCAACCAAGAUUAGAAAUUGUAAGACAGAAAGGCAGAUUCAUCAUACUGGAAGACCAGCUCCAGUGGAGGAAGGGCAAGAAGGGUGGAGAAUUCCAGUGAAAGAACUGAGGAGCUGAGAGAAUCCAAGCAGUUAACUCACUUCUCUUUGGGGUGUCCUCCACGGAGUUUGGUCUGAGAAAACCUAUGAAUCUUGAUCAUCCUUCUGUGAAUCCAGACUCCUCCCUCAAUCUAGUGGAAGACAACAGGAGUGGAUAGGACUUUGAUAUAAAGCUAUCAUCCCAGAAAAUCUCCUCUCUCCCAUAAGCAGUCCUGAAACUUCAUACCAUAGUUAGGACAGUAGAAGUCAGGAUAGCUAUUACAAAUGACCCCAGAGGGUCAGGCAGGCAAAGCCUGACUUUGCAGGAUUUGGGUAGAAGGGUUUCAAUUAUUAAUCCUUAGGGACUUCCCAUGUCCCACUUUCCCAUUACCUUAUCCCACAAUUUCAUUUACCCUACUUUUUGUGUGUUCCUCAAGAAUAAAUAGCUGUCUCUAUAGAUCA